UGGGUUUUACACUAACUAACUCAAGGUACAC
rnacentral:piRNA from 1 species